rnacentral:rRNA from 1 species
UGGGGAAUUUUGCACAAUGGGGGCAACCCUGAUGCAGCGACGCCGCGUGAUUUAGAAGGCCCUUGGGUUGUAAAAAUCUUUUGUAUGGGAAGAAAAUGACAGUACCAUACGAAUAAGGACCGGCUAAUUACGUGCCAGCAGCCGCGGUAAUACGUAAGGUCCGAGCGUUGUCCGGAAUCAUUGGGCGUAAAGGGUACGUAGGCGGAUAAGCAAGUUAGAAGUGAAAUCCUAUAGCUCAACUAUAGUAAGCUUUUAAAACUGCUCAUCUUGAGGUAUGGAAGGGAGAGUGGAAUUCCUAGUGUAGCGGUAAGAUGCGCAGAUAUUAGGAGGAAUACCGGUGGCGAAGGCGACUUUCUGGCCAUAAACUAACGCUGAGGUACGAAAGAGUGGGUAGCAGGCAGG